rnacentral:lncRNA from 1 species
CCGGCUGCAGCCGGGCUGCUCCGAGGGGCGGGGCCGGUAGGCCCGGGAGGGGCGGGGAAGUAGCCGAACUGGGGUGGAGGGCCCCUAGCUAGCUACCAUAGCUGGGCGGGCGACAAGCGCGGGUCUGGCGGAGCGCGGGGGCGCGCGAAGACCGCGAGGCGACCGGGAGCGGCAGAGGCGCCGCCGCCUGCGCUCGCAGGCCGCGGGUGAAAAAGAAAGCACA